rnacentral:lncRNA from 10 species
AUUCGUCGGCUUUGCACACCGGCCGGAGGCGCUGUCCAGAAAGGGGCGGACCCGGGAUUUCUGAGAAUUACCUCCAGCGCGAUUGGCCUGGCUUCCUGCAGUGGCCAGAGGGCUAAGGACCCCCUUCCCUGCUGUCCAGCUGGGGCGCCAAGCAGCAGGGCCCUCCGAAUAGGCGAGCUGUGCUUGGAUCUCAGAGACGGGCACCGACUGCCGAGCCCCAGACGAAGUGCCCCAGGGUCGGGGAUCAGGCUUGUGCAGGGUAGCACCUGGGGACCUGAGGGACCUGGAGGCCUUCUUGUAUCCUGAAGUAGGACCUUCUAAGACUUCAUGAGUCCUGGCCCCCUUGCAGGGGUUGGGGAGCUGGGGAUCCCAGAUCUGCCUAUUGCGCCCGAUGCCCCGAGGCUCUCUCUUGGACUCUGGCCCUGAGUUCUUCUGCGCGAUCCUUCGGAGACGUCUGGAGGCCUGCUUUAUGCAUCUCUCUUGGACCUCAGUUUCCCCACACGUGGGAGGAGGCAGCUGGACGAUUCCUGAAAGGACUUUCCCUUGCUUCCUCAUCACGUGGAAGAG